CCCUUAGAUGUUCUGGGCCGCACGCGCGCUACACUGAUGCAUUCAACGAGCACUAACCUGUGCCGAAAGGUUCGGGUAAUCUUGUGAAAUUUCAUCGUGAUGGGGAUUGAUUAUUGCAAUUUUUAAUCAUAAACGAGGAAUGCCUAGUAAGCGUGAGUCAUCAGCUCACGUUGAUUACGUCCCUGCCCUUUGUACACACCGCCCGUCGCUCCUACCGAUUGAAUGUGCCAGUGAAAAGUUCGGAUUGGAGAUAGGAGACGGCAACGUAUCCUAUUUCCGAGAAAAUCUUUAAACUUUCCCAUUUAGAGGAAGGAGAAGUCGUAACA
rnacentral:rRNA from 1 species